rnacentral:rRNA from 1 species
GCCGAGCGCUACGUUGGUUCAUAGGAGGAUCAGCGCGUGACGAGCAAUGCUUCGUUGACCCAUCCCCGUUCCCCAGGUCGCCCGCCCAUGUGAGUGACUGCUGCCACUUCCAGGUCUUCUUCCUGCUUCCUCCUCUCAACUGCUCCUCCCCGUCUCCACUCCACUAGUCCCCUGCUACUCCCCUAACCCCCUGAGCAACUGCUCGAGUCCCCUCCCAAUCUAGUCCCCAAAUCCAGAUCUCCUUACUCAGAUCGUUUCUCAAAUCAAGCAGUCGCAAGUGAGUAUAAGUGGAUCUGCAGGCUGUAGCUGCAAAUUCGUGAGGGGUGGCGAUUUAGUCUUCAAGUUGCAAGCUGGGAGCAACGAUUCGAAAAGCUACUGUAACAGAUUGCGUUCACUGACACUGCGAAACAAGCGAGCUGGAUCUAAGCUGCUGCUAGCGAAGAAAAAAUCCAGGUUCCACCACCGGAUCCCCGUCAAUAGAUUGACGACGCAAAUUUAGCUGUUCGCUGUCAGUUCAGUGGACGACCUGACCUCCACGUAGAAUUGACAGGGCGAGCACAGAGCCCAUGGAGGGUGCUCUGGUGAGUGUGGCGACGGGGACCCUGAAACCCGUCCUGGGGAAGCUGGCUUCUCUGAUGGGCGACGAGUACAAGCGUCUCAAGGGGGUGCGCGGCGAGAUCAAGUUUCUGACCGAUGAGCUUACUGCCAUGCAUGCCUUUCUCCUGAAGAUGUCAGAGGAGGAGGAUCCUGAUGUACAGGAAAAAGUUUGGAUGAAUGAGGUGCGCGAGCUGUCCUACGGCAUGGAGGACUCCAUCGAUGACUUCAUGAAACAUGUAGAUGACAAUGACACAAAGCCAAGCAGCUUCAUGGAGAAGAUCAAGAACUUGUUGGGGAAGAUGAAGACUCGCCAUCGGAUUGCAAACGAGAUCCUAGAUUUGAAGAAACGUAUUAUCGAGGUGGGUGAGAGGACUGCAAGGUACAAAACUCGUGAUGCCUUCUCCAAAACCGUCAAUGUGACCGUUGACCCUAGAGCUCUUGCUAUCUUUGAGCAUGCCUCAAUGCUCGUUGGAAUGGAUGAACCGAAGGCAGAGCUAAUCAAACUCUUGACUGAAGAGGAUGGAUGUGCAUCGACACAACAUCAACAAGUGAAGAUGGUCUCUGUCGUUGGAUCUGGAGGAAUGGGCAAGACAACUCUUGCAAACCAAGUGUAUCAAGAGCUCAAAGGCAAACUCAAGUGUCGGGCUUUCGUGUCAGUGUCACGAAAUCCAGACAUCAUUAAUAUUCUAAGAACUAUUCUUGGUGAAGUUACCGGGCAACUUUAUACUGAUACAGAAGGAGGGAGUGUACAACAACUCCUCGCCAAUAUCUCCAACUUCCUUGUAGACAACAGCUACUUUAUUGUUGUUGACGAUAUAUGGAAGAAGCAAACAUGGGAUGUUAUUAAGUACGCAUUCCCCAUGGCCAGUUGUGGCAUAAUAAUCACCACUACUCGUGUGAAAGAUGUCGCUAAUUCAUGUCAAGCAUCAUUCGGUGGCCAUAUUUAUAAUAUAAGGCCUCUUGAUAUUGUUCAUUCAAGACAGUUAUUUCACGGAAGACUAUUUAACUCCAAAGAAAAUUGCCCUCCACACCUUAAAGAAGUUUCUGAUCAAAUCUUGAAAAAAUGUGAUGGGUUACCUUUGGCGAUCAUCGCUAUAUCUGGUUUGUUGGCUAACACGGAAAGAAGAGAGGGCCUAUGGAACCAAGUGAAAGAUUCAAUUGGCCGUGCACUUGAAAGAAAUUCUAGCGUUGAAGGAAUGAUGAAGAUAUUGUCACUUAGUUAUUUUGAUCUGCCUCCACAUCUGAAGACGUGUCUCUUAUAUGUGAGUAUAUUUCCGGAGGAUUCUUUUAUUGAGAAGAAUGAUAUCAUAAGUAGGUGGAUAGGUGAAGAAUUCAUUCACAAAGAAGGCAGAUAUACAUCACAUGAGAUAGGAGAAAGGUGUUUUAAUGAGCUCCUUAAUAGGGGUUUGAUUCAACCGGGGAAGACAAAUGAAUAUGGUGAGCUAGAGAGUUGCCAAGUUCAUGACACAAUUCUUGAUUUCAUCAUAUCCAAGUCCAUAGAAGAGAACUUUGUUACUUUACUAGGUGUUCCCAUUCUGACAAUUGGGACACAAAGCAAAGUCGUUCGUCGACUCGUUCUACAAGGAGUUAAUCAAGGAAAUUCAACAAUACAGCCAGCAGGUUUGGUGUUGUCCCAUGUACGAUCACUGAGUGUGUUUGGAGGUUUUGUGGAAAUCCCUUCUCUGGAGGAAUUCAAACAUCUGCGUGUUCUCAACUUGAGCCAUUACCAAUCAUUGGAAGAGCGUCAUCUUGAAAAUAUAGUGAGGUUGCCCCAGCUAAGGUACCUGAACGUCAAAAAUACAGAAAUAAGGAAGCUCCCAGAACAAAUCGGGCGUUUAAGUUGCCUAGAGUUGCUGGACCUAAGACACACUUGUGUAGAGGAAUUACCAGCAUCUGUUGUUAAUCUCAAAAAAAUUGACCCAUCUUCUUGUUGACUAUGGUGUUAAAUUUCCUGAUGGAAUUGAAGAGAUGCAAGCAUUGGAGACAUUGAAAGAGGUCAGGUUCUCUAGGCAACCAUUUGGCUUCCUGUCCGGCCUUGGCCAACUAAAGAAUUUGAGGAAUCUGGUUCUUUUCUUUGGUUUCGAAGAGUAUUCUGACACUAAGGGUACAAAUAUGGUUGAAGGGGAGUGCAUCAAAUCUAUCAUCUCUUCCCUGUGUAAACUAGGCACCCAGGACCUUCGCUCUCUAACUAUUUGGGAUUGGAGCAGCCUCUUACAAGAACCUUUGUGCCCACUUACCCUCGAUAAACUUAUUAACUUCUCUUUAGGCACCCCACAGGUUCCGAAAUGGGUGAGCUCCCUCAGAAACCUCCAGGAGAUACACCUUCUAGUGGAUGAAGUCAAGCAGGAUGAUCUCUGCAUCCUUGGGGCCUUACCCACUCUGCUCAUUCUGCAUCUGGAGGAAGAAACAAUGUCAAACAAAAAAUUCAGAAUCAGUGGUGAAGUUGGGUUCCAAUUCUUGAGGAUUUUUAUUUACGAGGCAAAUCCUCACCUGGUAGAUCUGAUGUUUGCAGCAGGAUCCAUGCCCAAGCUAGAAAAACUCGUGCUUUCUUUCCGCAUAGUAGCUGGCUCUCUGGACUUUGGAAUCAAGAACCUCCCCUGCCUCGAUACGGUCAAAUGUAGUACAAAUGACGACGAUGGCAUUUUUAGAGCCAUACAGACUGCCAUGGAGAGAGCAGCCAGCACACACCCCAAUCACCCUAGUUUACUCUUUUGGAAAGAUGUCAGAUUUUAUUUGUCUGGAAGGCCCAGCUUUGAUUAAACAAGCCUAAGAACCAGGAACGGGGGAGUUGCCUCUCCUCAUCCGGCCAGCCGAUUAUCAUGUUUAAGAGUAUUCAGCUCCAUACUUCUCUCCUUUAUGAUACGCCAGCACACUUUACUCUCUCUGUUGGAUAAUGUAUUAUCUAUGACAUGCAUGUUUUUCAUAUUUUACAUAUGGCGACAUGUGGAGUCCGUGUGAUACAAUAUUGUUGAAUUCGUGCUUGAAUAAAGCAUUUUCAUGUGGUUGUGAUUCCCUGAGUAUGAACAAAGCUUUCUACAGGAAGUUUAUGGUAAAAGCUCAACUUGGAAAAAUAUGGACACGCCUUGCAUGAUUCAGCUG